CCUACGGGAGGCUGCAGUGAGGAAUAUUGGUCAAUGGCCGGAAGGCUGAACCAGCCAUGCCGCGUGAAGGAUGACUGCCCUACGGGUUGUAAACUUCUUUUAUAAAGGAAUAAAGUGAGGCACGUGUGCCUUUUUGUAUGUACUUUAUGAAUAAGGAUCGGCUAACUCCGUGCCAGCAGCCGCGGUAAUACGGAGGUACCGAGCGUUAUCCGGAUUUAUUGGGUUUAAAGGGAGCGUAGAUGGGUUGUUAAGUCAGUUGUGAAAGUUUGCGGCUCAACCGUAAAAUUGCACUUGAUACUGGCAGUCUUGAGUACCGUUGCGGUAGGCGGAAUUCGUGUUGUAGCGG
rnacentral:rRNA from 1 species